UACGUAGGGGGCAAGCGUUGUCCGGAUUUAUUGGGCGUAAAGAGCGUGUAGGCGGUUUGGUAGGUCCGCUGUGAAAACUCGAGGCUCAACCUCGAGACGUCGGUUGAAACCGUAUGGCUAGAGUCCGGAAGAGGAGAGUGGAAUUCCCGGUGUAGCGGUGAAAUGCGCAGAUAUCGGGAAGAACACCUAUGGCGAAGGCAGCUCUCUGGGACGGUACUGACGCUGAGACGCGAAAGCGUGGGGAGCGAACAGG
rnacentral:rRNA from 1 species